rnacentral:rRNA from 1 species
GGCGGCCCCCUGGACAAAGAGUGACUAUCAGGCGAGAAAGCGUGAGGAGCAAACAGGAAUUAGAUACCCUUUUCGUCCACACCCCAAACGAUGUCGAGUUGAGAGGUUGUGCCCUUGAGGCGUGGCUUCCGGAGCUAACGCGUUAAGUCGACCCCCUGGGGAGUACGGCCGCAAGGUUAAAACUCAAAUGAAUUGACGGGGGCCCGCACCAGCGGUGGAGCAUGUGAUUUAAUUAUGAUGCAACGCGAAGAACCUUACCUACUCUUGACAUCCAGAGAAGUUAGCAGAGAUGGUUUGGUGCCUUCGCGAACUCUGAGACAGGUGCGUGCAUGGAUUGUCGUCAGUCUCGUGUUGUGAAAUGUUGGGUUAAGUCAGGCAAUCGAGCGCAACCAUUAUCCUUUGUUGCUAGCGGUCCGGCCGGGAACUCAAAGGAGACUGCCAGUGAUAAACUGGAGGAAGGUGGGGAUGAUCGUCAAGUCAUCAUGGCCCCUUCGAGUAGGGCUACACACGUGUUACAAUGGCGGAUACAAAGAGAAGCGACCUCGCGAGAGCAAGCGGACUUCAUAAAAUAUGUCGUAGUCCGGAUUGGAGUCUGCAACUCGACUACCAGGAAGUACGGAAUUGUCUAGUAAUCGUGGAUCAGAAUGACCACCGGCGAAUAACGUUCUCCGGGCCUUGUACAUACCGCCC